rnacentral:rRNA from 1 species
GACGAACGCUGGCGGCGUGCUUAACACAUGCAAGUCGAACGGUGAAGGGGAGCUUGCUCCCCGGAUCAGUGGCGAACGGAUGAGUAACACGUGGGCAACCUGCCCCAGACUUCGGGAUAACGCUUCGAAAGAGGUGCUAAUACCGGAUACGAACUCCUUGGGCAUCCUGGGAGUUGGAAAGUUUUUCGGUCUGGGAUGGGCCCGCGGCCUAUCAGCUAGUUGGUGAGGUAAUGGCUCACCAAGGCGACGACGGGUAGCCGGCCUGAGAGGGCGACCGGCCACACUGGGACUGAGACACGGGCCAGACUCCUACGGGAGGCAGCAGUGGGGAAUAUUGCGCAAUGGGCGAAAGCCUGACGCAGCAACGCCGCGUGAGGGAUGACGGCCUUCGGGUUGUAAACCUCUUUCAGCAGGGAAGAAGCGAAAGUGACGGUACCUGCAGAAGAAGCACCGGCUAACUACGUGCCAGCCGCCGCAGUAAAAC